rnacentral:misc_RNA from 1 species
CAACAUCUCAAGCACCAGCUUGGUCUUGGGCUUCACGUCUUUUCAGGGGUGAGCCUAAAAGUUAGUGGCGGUGCCUCCGGGUCUCAAGCGUAGCAGGAACUUCACGCUUUGGAGGGUCGGCUUUUGGCAGCUUGCCUUACAUAUUUAAAAAGA